rnacentral:rRNA from 1 species
GCGGCGUGCUUAACACAUGCAAGUCGAACGGAAAGGCCCUGCUUUUGUGGGGUGCUCGAGUGGCGAACGGGUGAGUAACACGUGAGUAACCUGCCCUUGACUUUGGGAUAACUUCAGGAAACUGGGGCUAAUACCGGAUAGGAGCUCCUGCUGCAUGGUGGGGGUUGGAAAGUUUCGGCGGUUGGGGAUGGACUCGCGGCUUAUCAGCUUGUUGGUGGGGUAGUGGCUUACCAAGGCUUUGACGGGUAGCCGGCCUGAGAGGGUGACCGGCCACAUUGGGACUGAGAUACGGCCCAGACUCCUACGGGAGGCAGCAGUGGGGAAUAUUGCACAAUGGGCGGAAGCCUGAUGCAGCAACGCCGCGUGCGGGAUGACGGCCUUCGGGUUGUAAACCGCUUUCGCCUGUGACGAAGCGUGAGUGACGGUAAUGGGUAAAGAAGCACCGGCUAACUACGUGCCAGCAGCCGCGGUGAUACGUAGGGUGCGAGCGUUGUCCGGAUUUAUUGGGCGUAAAGGGCUCGUAGGUGGUUGAUCGCGUCGGAAGUGUAAUCUUGGGGCUUAACCCUGAGCGUGCUUUCGAUACGGGUUGACUUGAGGAAGGUAGGGGAGAAUGGAAUUCCUGGUGGAGCGGUGGAAUGCGCAGAUAUCAGGAGGAACACCAGUGGCGAAGGCGGUUCUCUGGGCCUUUCCUGACGCUGAGGAGCGAAAGCGUGGGGAGCGAACAGGCUUAGAUACCCCUGGUAGUCCACGCUGUAAACGGUGGGUACUAGGUGUGGGGUCCAUUCCACGGGUUCCGUGCCGUAGCUAACGCUUUAAGUACCCCGCCUGGGGAGUACGGCCGCAAGGCUAAAACUCAAAGGAAUUGACGGGGCCCCGCACAAGCGGCGGAGCAUGCGGAUUAAUUCGAUGCAACGCGUAGAACCUUACCUGGGUUUGACAUGGAUCGGGAGUGCUCAGAGAUGGGUGUGCCUCUUUUGGGGUCGGUUCACAGGUGGUGCAUGGCUGUCGUCAGCUCGUGUCGUGAGAUGUUGGGUUAAGUCCCGCAACGAGCGCAACCCUUGUUCACUGUUGCCAGCACGUUAUGGUGGGGACUCAGUGGAGACCGCCGGGGUCAACUCGGAGGAAGGUGGGGAUGACGUCAAGUCAUCAUGCCCCUUAUGUCCAGGGCUUCACGCAUGCUACAAUGGCUGGUACAGAGAGUGGCGAGCCUGUGAGGGUGAGCGAAUCUCGGAAAGCCGGUCUCAGUUCGGAUUGGGGUCUGCAACUCGACCUCAUGAAGUCGGAGUCGCUAGUAAUCGCAGAUCAGCAACGCUGCGGUGAAUACGUUCCCGGGGCUUGUACACACCGCCCGUCAAGUCAUGAAAGUUGGUAACACCCGAAGCCGGUGGCCUAACCGUUGUGGGGGAGCCGUCGAAGGUGGGACUGGUGAUUAGG